GAUGAACGCUGGCGGCGUGCCUAAUACAUGCAAGUCGAGCGAACGGACGAGAAGCUUGCUUCUCUGAUGUUAGCGGCGGACGGGUGAGUAACACGUGGAUAACCUACCUAUAAGACUGGGAUAACUUCGGGAAACCGGAGCUAAUACCGGAUGAUAUUUUGAACCGCAUGGUUCAAAAGUGAAAGACGGUCUUGCUGUCACUUAUAGAUGGAUCCGCGCCGCAUUAGCUAGUUGGUAAGGUAACGGCUUACCAAGGCAACGAUGCAUAGCCGACCUGAGAGGGUGAUCGGCCACACUGGAACUGAGGCACGGUCCAGACUCCUACGGGAGGCAGCAGUAGGGAAUCUUCCGCAAUGGGCGAAAGCCUGACGGAGCAACGCCGCGUGAGUGAUGAAGGUCUUCGGAUCGUAAAACUCUGUUAUUAGGGAAGAACAUAUGUGUAAGUAACUGUGCACAUCUUGACGGUACCUAAUCAGAAAGCCACGGCUAACUACGUG
rnacentral:rRNA from 1 species